CACAUUUCACAGCCAUGGUGGUUGUGAGUCUUCCGAACCCAUCUCUCCACACCCAAACCCUCGCUUCCUGCAACUUCAUUUCACCAUUUCUGCACCAUUCCCACCAAAUCUACACUAAUUGCAGAAGACCCACUAGACAAGAAGUGCAGAACUCUAAUGGGUUGCUUUCUGUUACAGCUUACAUGGAGAACCCCAACUCCAUUUCCAGUUUUGCCAGCAAAGUCAUUGGUUCUCUCCCUGUAAUUGGCCUUGUAGCUAGAAUUUUCAGCGAUGAAGGUGGUGUUGGUGGUGAUAUCAUUGAUUUCGCAGAGUUUAGGAGGAGAGUGGGCAAGAAGUGCACAUUCAAUGAUUCUAGAGCUUUUUAUGAGUUCCAGGAUCGGAGAGGCAAGUCAGGGGAUCCUUUGUAUGUUCUAUUGUGCUGUUGGCUAGCAGCUGUUGGUGCUGGUCUUCUCAAAUCUGAAGAGCUUUUAGAGGGGGCAGCAAGGCUUCGGAUAUCAAAUGAUAUUGAAUUUGAAGAGCAGAAUUUCAUUUCAUUGAUGAAUGAGGCAAAAGAGGUUGGAAAUCUUUUCUAAUCCUAUUUACUUUCUCUUGUUUUUCUGACUUCCAUGAAUUCAAGCUGGCGAACCAUUCAACUCUCGUUUUGAAUGGCAUCUGAAAGUGCUAAGCAUCAUGUGAUCAACCGAGAUUACUUUCUAACUCAAAUUAUGUACAAUUAUUUUCUGUGCCUUAAUUCAUAUGUCAACCUACUAAUGUAAUGGCAGCGUGAAAAGAUUGAGGCCUCAUGAAGUAAAAGAUCUUCAAAGCCUAGGAAAUGAUUUAGUUCCCUUUUCAGAUUGCAGUUUGCCUGGGAAUAGGUGAUAAAUUCGUUCAAGCAUACUAACAAAUUUCUUAUACUGUCUAAUUGGAAGUCGGUUUGGAGUAACAAAUUUCUUAGCAAGAAAAGGGGGAAAUUGUGUAAACCAAGAUCUAAGAGUUUGAAUUGCAAUGAAUUUAGCAGUGGCUGUUUAAAAAUAAUCUUUCAAUCAGUGAUCAUGGGGUAUAUGGAUGCCUCACCAAAAGGAAACAGUAGCAUUCAGUUCUGGCUACGCAUUAGAUGGUCGAUUUGUUGGAAUCCAAGUCCAGGUGGAAUUAGGAUUGAAUAUGAAUUAGGAAGAUUUAAUUAUAAUUUAACUGGGAAGUUUAGUUAAUUCGGUGUUUUAGUGGCCUACAUAUAUGAGUUGCUGCUGGCCACAUGAAGUGUGUGAGUGUGUGCUGACCAUGGAGUGUUGGUACUAUAGUAACGUGUGUGCAAAGUGUAGAAGGCCACAUGUUGGAGCAUGGAUUUAAAUUGCAGUCACAUUUGUGGGCAACAAAAAUAGACCUAUCAAGGCUUAACAUAACGAUAACGGCUUAUCACUAUGCAAAUAUUUUUGGAAAUUUUAUAAAGUUCACGAAAUUAAUAUAUAUAUAUAAACAUAUAAGUAAAAGUAAGAUACAUAACUAAAUAAUAAGCAUAAAUAUA
rnacentral:misc_RNA from 1 species